rnacentral:lncRNA from 1 species
UAACAUUUCUAUUAAAUUAUGAAUAUUUACAUAUAUUUCCGAAAAUAAUGUAAUAAUCAUUUGAAACGGAGCGCUACGCGCUAAUGAGAAUGAUUGCCGAUGUGUUUCCCCUCAUCGUUGCUUUGCCUACAAAAGCUGGUUUGAGCAACAAAAAUAGUUCAUACCUGAACAUACUUCUCUUACCCUAGUAUAUGUAGUAGCUACUACAAAGAAGUAGUGACAAAUAGUUGGCGUACUUUCAUUCUUGAUUCUUGCGAUUUCGGUGUUUGAAAAGUUGCGCUAAAUUGUAAACAAUUUUAUUUCUUAAAAUAAAUAAUUCUUAUAAUAUGAUAAAGGAACUAAUUCUGAAGACAAGCUGCACAUAUUGGUAUCAACUAACAAUUAUUUGGGCUACGCAGAGAAUAAUACGUUGCGCGUUCUCCUAGUGGAUGAUAGCUUUAUAACUUUUGAAGAAAUAUUUCAAAUGGCUGUGCAGGAAGAUGUAGACUUCAUUUUAUUCAGAUGCUAUUUAUUUCACGAUGCAGUUCCCAGCCAGAACACACUGCACAAAUCUAGGCAGAGCCAACGCAAACUCAGCAUCCACUUAUUGGUGAGCGUGACCGAUAUAUGUAUACAGAAGUAUGAAUAUUUCAAUAGAAAACCGUCUUAUUGACUUUUCUUAUUGGAAAAUGGAUCAAAUGAAAACUACAUUAUCCACUAAACAGCAACAUUACAAAAUGUAAUAUACCUUUCAUAACGAUGAACAAAUAUAUACAAUUGCAUAUGUGACUUGCUGUAAAAUAAUUAAAAAAGUUGAAUAACAUUCAUGUACGUGUACUCAUACUUAUAGUUCAAUUAUUUUUAAUCAAACGAUACACACAUUUAGAAUACAUGAAUGUGCUUUAAAAUAGAAAUAGUUAACAAACACAUUUAGUAUUUUGAUAAACGUCUGAUAUAGUUAUAAGUUGGCGGCAAUAAUGUGAGUCAUAGGUGUUGAUGACGUUGCGAUUUGUAUCAGACGUUCUCACAACGCACUUAGCAGAGUAUUUAUAAUAAUAUACAUAUAUGUAUGUACGUAUUUUAAUUAAUUUCGGUUCUAAUAUUAUACUUCCUUACAUUACAUACAUCUAUGGAAUGUAUGUAAAUAGAUAUACACACUUUAUAUAUUUUAUAUGAGCUUAGGUUUGUAUAUAUGUACAUACAUAUGUAUGUAUGUAUACCAUAUAUAGCAUAAUUAAACUGCUAAUGCAACUAUGUUGA